CCAAUCGUUUCUGAAUUGAAAGCAUGACUUUUUUUCAAAUAGUUAUAUUGCUUUUAGUAUGUAUGAUUAAUUUGUCAGCAGGUGGGUACUGCAUAUAUUCAGAGACAUGCUACAAACAAACACACAAAUCUUGUGGCGUUUUUGGUUGGGCAAGAUGUACCAGACAGAAGUCGUACACAUGCACCGCUACAAGGUGUUGUCGUGGAUGGAUGGGGUCCGAUUGUGACACUCGUAUGUUUCUUUGUUAUUCAUGAUUUAAACUUCUAAAUCUUUAUUUCCAUGACACGUUUUUCUUCGAAUAAGUAAUGCAUUUAUUUCUAAAAAUGAUAACAUCUAAUAACUCAUCUCAAAGGUCUUUUAAUGCAAAAUAUUUGUGUGUGUGUGUGUUCGGGUUUAACGUCUUUUUCAACAAUUUUUCAGUCAU
rnacentral:lncRNA from 1 species